AGCCCGGUAGUGUAGUGGACAGGAAAAGUCAAGUGAGGCUUUCCUCCCCGUGACGGCGGUUCGAAUCCGCCCCGGGCUACCA
rnacentral:tRNA from 2 species